GUUUAGGAAUCCUCUGAAUGACCUCAAUAUGUUUUGGACUCAAUUGUCUGGUGCCUGAAGCCAGAAUAAAACCUAAGUAAUCAACCUUUGAUUUACACAAUUGCAUUUUGUGUUUUGCAACCUUGUGACCCACAGUUGCUAAGUGUUUGAGCAAACUGACAGUAUCCACAGUGCUUGCCUCAUAGCUAGGGCUACAUAACAACAAGUCAUCAACAUAUUGCAAAAGGACGGAACCAUGACUGGG